UUAGGUUCAGCGGGUAUCCCUACCUGAUCCGAGGUCAACAUUACUGCUUUACACAGAAUGGGGGUCCAACAGCCUGGAUUCUGACCGGCCUACAAACUAAUUUAGCAUUACGAGAUACUCUGAAAGUCUGUCACCAUUGUCUACAUUUCCGGCCUAUUCAUUCCAGCAGAGUGGGGCCAGCACUGCCAGCCCUACCCACU
rnacentral:misc_RNA from 1 species